GACGAACGCUGGCGGCGUGCUUAACACAUGCAAGUCGAACGGAAAGGCCCUGCUUUUGUGUGGUGCUCGAGUGGCGAACGGGUGAGUAACACGUGAGUAACCUGCCCUUGACUUUGGGAUAACUUCAGGAAACUGGGGCUAAUACCGGAUAGGAGCUCCUGCUGCAUGGUGGGGGUUGGAAAGUUUCGGCGGUUGGGGAUGGACUCGCGGCUUAUCAGCUUGUUGGUGGGGUAGUGGCUUACCAAGGCUUUGACGGGUAGCCGGCCUGAGAGGGUGACCGGCCACAUUGGGACUGAGGUACGGCCCAGACUCCUACGGGAGGCAGCAGUGGGGAAUAUUGCACAAUGGGCGGAAGCCUGAUGCAGCAACGCCGCGUGCGGGAUGACGGCCUUCGGGUUGUAAACCGCUUUCUCCUGAGACGAAGCGUGAGUGACGGUAAUGGGUAAAGAAGCACCGGCUAACUACGUG
rnacentral:rRNA from 1 species